rnacentral:lncRNA from 1 species
UUGUCAUAAUACACUAUCAAAGGACACCGUUCAGAACAAGUACAUUCAUAGUUCUCUCCCCAGUACACCAAACCAAAAACACGUCCAUGAUAAUCUCCGCCACAGCUUUCACAGUACAUAUCCACCCUGUGAAACCCAAAUGAAACUCGUGAAAGAAUCAAAUCUUCAAAAGAGACAAAGAAGCGUGAAGAAUUCAUUGAAGAGUAAAGCAUAACAACAAUAGACUAUUGCCGAUUCUUGUGCUCCAUUAGGAUCCCCCUAUACCAAGUUAUUCUCCAAAAUCCAGUUAUUAUAUCCCAAAUCCAGAAACAAAUACACACAAAUAAAAAAAAUUACUAGUUUAAUCGGAAAUAUGAGAACCUGAGCCUGCUGUAUAUUUAUUGGCUAUCUCUCCACAGAAAACUCAAAAGCAGAUGAUGCGUGACAUGAUUGUGUACAAACGUCAACACCAAUUUGUACACAAUAUAAGAAC